rnacentral:lncRNA from 10 species
CACGCCCACCCGGAACUCACGCUGGCCCGCGAGCGCCGCGCGCAGCCCUGGUUCCCGCCCGCGGCUCUCUCUCCACACAUCCCCGCAAGCUGAGGGAGCCAGCUCCGGCCUUGGCCAGCCCAGAAAAGGGCUCCCACAGUGCAGGGGCGGGCUGAAGGGCUCCUCAAGUGCCGCCAAAGUGGGAGCCCAGGCAGAGGAGGCGCCGAGAGCGAGCGAGGGCUGUGAGGACUGCCAGCACGCUGUCACCUCUCAGUCAGAGCCCACAGAUAAUAGCAACACACUAAGGUCCUAGGAGAUGAGCUCUCCAGGAUGGCGAAGCAUCUAAUGGAUGAUAAAGUAGGUACUUGAACAGGACUAAGUGCCUUGGUCUGGGACAAUGAAGCUCAGCAAUCACUGAAGGACAGGUCCUCAAGGUACAUCGUUGGGAUCAAGCAACUUUGAUCCCAAGGAGAAGAAUAAAAACAAGAGGGACGACUGGGCCAAGGUGCCAUGUGAAGUGACCUGUGAGGAUCAACCCAGUGAAGAUGCUUGAGGAAGACAUGCUAGAGCAAAAACUACAACUCUGGUCCUCUUGGAUAUUUUAGAUAAGGACUUUACCCACAUAAAGAAGGUGUUGCCCUGGGGACUGGCUGAGAGAAAUUACAGACUGUUACUCACUUCAAAAGAAACGGACUGCUACAGUGGUACUUACGUCACCAGAAAGAAACACUUCCACAAAGAAUUUGAUUUGAUGGCAUCAUGUGGACAUAGAACUCUCAUAGUAAUGACCCAACCUGUGUUUCCAGUCAUCCUGAUGAACUCUCAACAAAAUCAGAUUGUUAUACUGUUGUUCUCACUUUACACCGAUAUUUUCUCUUGCUCCUAAAAAAAGUAUCUGGUAUUAAAUAGAAUUCUGUAUCUUAAAAAACUUGCCAUUGAGAAAAAUGAGAAGUAACUGUACAUUUUAAUACUGAAGGUUUUAAUAAAAAAAGCAGUGUGAACUAUCUGUUCCAUUUUUAUUCCUCGUCUACAAAAGACAAAAGUGUCAGUAUUGAGACAAUUGCUUGAUAA